AGCGAACGCUGACGGCAGGCCUAACACAUGCAAGUCGAACGAACUCUUCGGAGUUAGUGGCGGACGGGUGAGUAACACGUGGGAACGUGCCUUUUGGUUCGGAAUAACUCAGGGAAACUUGUGCUAAUACCGAAUGUGCCCUUCGGGGGAAAGAUUUAUCGCCAUUAGAGCGGCCCGCGUCUGAUUAGCUAGUUGGUGAGGUAACGGCUCACCAAGGCGACGAUCAGUAGCUGGUCUGAGAGGAUGACCAGCCACACUGGGACUGAGACACGGCCCAGACUCCUACGGGAGGCAGCAGUGGGGAAUCUUGCGCAAUGGGCGAAAGCCUGACGCAGCCAUGCCGCGUGAAUGAUGAGGGUCUUAGGAUUGUAAAAUUCUUUCACCGGGGACGAUAAUGACGGUACCCGGAGAAGAAGCCCCGGCUAACUUCGUG
rnacentral:rRNA from 1 species